rnacentral:tRNA from 1 species
GGAUAGCUUAGUUGGUAGAGCAUGAGCCUCUUAAUCCCAGGGACAUGGGUUUGAGCCCCACGUUGGGCA